GCCUCCUUAGCUCAGUGGUAGUAGCGCUUGCCUAGUAAGCAAGAGGUCAGGUGUUCAAAUCACCUAGGAGGCA